CAAAAUCUUCUCGCAGUGUUGAUCCUUCAUUACUAAAUUCUAUCCCUCCAUACUCUCCUUCAAACCCUUCCACACCGAUGUGAGUUGACUGGCUAGCUGCAGCAGGUGGCAGGGUAGUCACGUCAAGCCCUGCCAAUGCCUUUGCGACAUCUGAACUCUCAUUAGCCUUGUCCUUCUUAAAACCACCCAUCAAGGACUCUGGCUGAUUAAUCUUAUCACUUGCUGCAAAUGGAUCCUGCUCCACCUCAAUCUCCUCAAUUUUCUCCUCCUCCUUUUCUCCACCCGUAAUCGCCAAUGUGGCUGCCACUUCAUCUCCCGCCUCCAACGUCUCCUGAGGCAACUCAAACAACGCUUUCGAGAAUGUCUCCAAUCCACCUUCUUGUUCCAAUGAAUGUGCCUCCACAUUCACCCAACUAUCACCUCCCCUAAUCUUAUUCUCUGUAUGAACAGCCGAAUGCACCAUCUUUGCUAUACUCUCCCCGUGCAUAGACGCCAACAUAGCCGCCAACCUAAUAUUACUCACCCCUCUCAACACAAUAUCCAACGCCAUAUAAAUCUCCGCGUAUUUCUUAGCUAACUUCUCCGGUGUCACAUCUACACCACGACACGCAGUAACCACCACAGAAACAGCUUGAUUCACAAUACUAAUACACUCAAACACAUUAUUAACAACCAUAUCCUUAUCAUUAUCAUCAGCAGUAGUAAUAGCAAGCACAUAAAUCGAGUUCACAAGACGAUACACAACCCGAUACCUCGAUUCCACCCCAACAAUAACUUGACCCGAAGAAGCAGCAAGUGGGUCAUCACCAAGUGACAUAGUAGGAUCGGAAGGAUAUGACUCAGCGGUAGGUUGUUGUGGUUGUUUGGAAAAUGCAAGACGCGUCUGGCGAAAAGCUGAAAGUGCCAUUAGGGCUCGAGAUGGUGGAAACCAUUCACGGGUUUGGAGUAAGAUAUCAG
rnacentral:misc_RNA from 1 species